UCUUCUCUGAGCAACAGAAAUGGUAGCUGUUCUGAAGCGGAGGAGCCCACAGGUCGUUUCUACAUCAUUCCAAUUUGUGUUUGUACCGGGGCUUUGGAUGUGUGUCAGAUAAAAUGUGUAAGAAAAUAUGAGCUUCAUUGAAAAUGCAACGAAGAAAGGAGUCUUUAAUUAAAGGGAUUGUCACGUUGCCCCUAACCAGUCCCAGCACUUUCAGUCAGGCUUCGACCUUUGGGUUCUGUACUGGCCACUUUUGUAUGUGAACUUGACACAGGCUAGAAUCAUCGCGGCAGAAAGGAGCUUCACCUGGAAAUGCUUCCACGAGAUCCAGCCGUAAGGCAGAAAGCAAAACUUCCGUCAACACACCGAAUGAAAAACAGAAAUAAAAAGGAGGAGGAUGCGACUACUUCUUAGAUGGUGUCACUAAGCAGUCUGUGAUUGUCCUACUUCUGCCUUGCAAGUCGCUGAAAUAAAACAAACGAACAAACAAACAAACA
rnacentral:sRNA from 1 species